UACUACAGCCAUGACACCCUGAACAAGCCCGAUCCAUUCUGAUCUUGGAAACUAAGCAGGGUCAGGCCUGGUUAGUACUUGGAUGGAAGACUACCUAGGAAGACCAGGUGCUGUAGGUA
rnacentral:rRNA from 1 species